rnacentral:rRNA from 1 species
AUUGAACGCUGGCGGCAUGCCUUACACAUGCAAGUCGAACGGUAACGGGCCUUCGGGUGCCGACGAGUGGCGAACGGGUGAGUAAUACAUCGGAACGUGCCCGAUCGUGGGGGAUAACGAGGCGAAAGCUUUGCUAAUACCUCAUACGAUCUACGGAUGAAAGCAGGGGACCGCAAGGCCUUGCGCGGACGGAGCGGCCGAUGGCAGAUUAGGUAGUUGGUGGGAUAAAAGCUUACCAAGUCGACGAUCUGUAGCUGGUCUGAGAGGAUGAUCAGCCACACUGGGACUGAGACACGGCCCAGACUCCUACGGGAGGCAGCAGUGGGGAAUUUUGGACAAUGGGCGCAAGCCUGAUCCAGCCAUGCCGCGUGCAGGAUGAAGGCCUUCGGGUUGUAAACUGCUUUUGUACGGAAAGAAAAGCCUUCUUUUAAUACAGGAGGGUCAUGACGGUACCGUAAGAAUAAGCACCGGCUAACUACGUG